rnacentral:rRNA from 1 species
UACGAAGGGGGCUAGCGUUGUUCGGAAUUACUGGGCGUAAAGCGCGCGCAGGCGGCUAUCCAAGUCAGUGGUGAAAGCCCGGAGCUCAACUCCGGAACUGCUAUUGAAACUGUUUAGCUUGAGGAUGAGAGAGGUGAGUGGAAUUCCCAGUGUAGAGGUGAAAUUCGUAGAUAUUGGGAAGAACACCGGUGGCGAAGGCGGCUCACUGGCUCAUUACUGACGCUCAGGCGCGAUAGCGUGGGGAUCAAACAGG